rnacentral:lncRNA from 7 species
GAUCAUAAGUCGUUCUAAUAACGAGUAGAUAUCGUAGCACUCUUCCAUCAUCGUCUCUUUCUUUUGAUGCCAAUCUCCUCCCUGCUCGCUCUCCCGUUCAGGUAUUAUUGCGACAUGCUUAGGAAUUUCAAGCUUGUAGCAUGCUGUUGUUAAAUAUUAUUACUACGCUUAAUUGAUCCCCCCCCCCCCCCCCCCAACCCUAGCUAGGUCAUAUCUGAAGCUCAGCCAUUAAGGCAAAUCUAUUUCUAAUCGACCUUCUUCUAUACCAAGUCAGAUAUAUCAUAUAUCUUCUACGUUUUCCCAUAUUUAGAGCUAGUUUGAGAAUUUUUUUCAAGGGAUUUUUAUUUUUCCAAGGAAAAUUAGUUUAUUUUUCCUUAAAAAAAUGAAAAUUCCUUAGGAAAUGUGGUUCCCAGACUAGCCCUUAUGUACCCUUUUCUACUUCGGUUUAAUUUUGUUCUUUCGUUUGCACGAAUGAAACAUGCUGAGGCUAUUUGAUGCAAAAAAAAAAAAAAACAUUGUUGUUCAUGUUAUCCCCUGAAAUCACAUUAGUUCGGAUGUGGAGUGAAUAUUCUUACAUAUUAAUUAAUUAAUUACAAGCCUGAUUUCAU